GGGCGACUCCCCGUCACUGGAUGGCGUGACGUGUAUGGAGGGCACCUCCAGGAACCUCCAGGGCCCAGGGUCCAGGCUGAUGGUCGCGCCAUCCUGUGGCUGCCGCUCUGCAGGGACGACAGGUAAUACAGAAAAGAUAUGAAGCAUAAAUGUACAGCUUAAUAGAUAAUUAUAAAGGACCUGGAGCCCCACCGCCCGGGGCCAGAGCAGGCGUGGUAUCACCCGGGGCCAGAGCAGGCGUGGUACCAGUGCCCUCGAAGCCACCGUGCCUUUUCCUCUGGAGACAAGCAUGGCCCUGAAGCCUAGGGUAACCCCUUCCUUUUAUUUCUUCUUAUUCUUUCUUAAAAUUUAUUCGGGAGCCUGCACGCCCAUCCACUGGUUCCCUCCACUUAUGCCUGCAGUGGCCAGCGCUGGAUCGGACACCGGCAUCCCAUCUGGUGUCUUAGUGCCAGGCCAAACACUCACCUCUGCUUUUCUUUAAUUGUGUGUUUUGUUUUGUUUUUAAUCUGAAAGAAUUAGAGACAGACAGGGAGACAGCGAUCUUCCUCCCGUGGAUUCCCUCCUCCAGUGGCCAGGAGCCUGGAGCUGCUUCUGGGCCUCCCGCGUGGGGGCAGGGGCCCGAGGACGUGGUCCAUUCUUGCUAGGAAAGCUCAUCUGUGAUGACUGUGGGUCUCCAGUGGCGCUGCUGGGUGGGCAGCUGUCCACACGGCGAAGGGGGAAGGGGGUGUCCCGUCCCUGAAGGUAUCCAGCCGCCAAGUUGCCCCUCGUGUCACGGCGCCUGCGUUCGUUCGCCGGGCCGGGAUCCGCCCCUCUCUCCUUGCCCAAGGUUAUCAUCUGCAAGAGCUAUCCAGGCGGGCCCAAGGCUCUCUCUUGGGAGAACGGGGCUGGUAGUCCGCGUCCUCUUUACUUUUCCUCUCUCAGCCCUGGCACACAGGGCCGAUUUCUGAGUAAAGUUCCUGCCUCCCACUAGGGCUGCGGAGAGAAGAAAACUCAUUUGGACGUCAUGUCCUUGCAGACGUGGCCAAGUGCCCGGUAGGAAUGCCCGUGUGUUUCCUGUCUUUAUCAGUUCCCUCAAAACCAUCCAUUCUACUCGGUUUUCUCUGCAGGGGCUCCCAGGGUCCCCAGAUCGCCCUCUGCAGUCCCCUCCAAGCCUGCAGGGGGCGCUCGUUGGCUGGUCCAAAUCCCAGGCCGUUGCUACAGACUGCACACGCGGAGUGGGCACCGGGAGAGGGUCCUCUUCUCCUCUUACGCAGGGCCUCCACAGCAGGUGGGCAUAUGUACUUCUGGCAAAUAACAGCAAUAUAUUUGCACACCCCAGAUACAGGAAGAUUGGCUGACUACCUUUUUUUUAGGAUUUGUUUUAUUUAUUUGAAAGGCAAAGUGACCGAGAGAGGAAGAGAUCUUCCAUCCACUGGUUCCCUCCGCAAGUGGCUGCAAUGGCAGGUGCUGGGCUGGGCUGAAGCCAGGAGCCUGGGACUCCAACCCGGGUCUCUCACAUGGGUGGCAGGACCCAAGCGCUUGGCCAUCUUCUGUCAUUUUCCCAGUGGGUCAGCAGGGAGCUGGGUUGGAAGCAGAGCAGCCAGGACUAGAACUGGAACCCUGCUCUGAGAUGCCGGUGUUGCGAGCUGUGGCUUAACCCGCUAUGCCCCCGACCAUAUGUGCUUCUUUUUAAUUAAUUAAUUAAUUUGGAAUUCAGAGUUACACAGAGAGAGAAGCAGAGACAGAGACAGAGAGAGAGGUCUUCCAUCUGCUGGUUCACUCCCCAAUUGGCCACAACGGCCGGAGCUGUGCCGAUCCGAAGCCAGGAGCCAGGAGCUUCUUCCAGGUCUUCCAUGCGAGUGCAGAGGCCCAAAGACUUGGGCCAUCUUCUACUGCUUUCCCAGGCCAUAGCAGAGAGCUGGAUCAGAAGUGGAGCAGCCGGGUCUCGAACUGGCAUCCAUAUGGGAUGCCAGCACUGCAGGCGACGGCUUAACCCACUACACCACAGCGCUGGCACCGACUGUAUGUGUUUCUAAUGAACUGUGGCUUCUGGGUUUUCCCCUGAGUAUGCCCACUUGGUUCUGGUAAGUUCUGACCUUUUACUAAAUCCCGCCCACAUGCUCUCUCUGCGGAAGGUUUCUUCCCCAGCUGUGUCUAAUUGAACCAAGUUCCUUCCCACAGGCUCCAUUCUGGAGAGCCCCAAAUCCUUCAGAACAUUCCAGAUCCUUGGGUUUCCCAGCCUCAAUUCUUUGUGACAGCCUUAAGUUCCAUUUCCACAGAGCAGAUGCAUCCGUUUGUGCCAAGUAACGGUACCAGGGCGAGCGGGACAGCCCCUCCGCCCCCCGCCGGCCUCCUGCGGCUUCCGCUUCUCGUGAACUUGUACUUUGUCUUUCUGGCAUCUUGGACCCACAGGGCCACAGCCCUCACAGCAGACGCCCGGUCCAAGGCCGUCUCCUGCCCUUGAGCUUGGGGCUGCCUGGCUGAUGUGCUCAGAGUUGGCCAGGUGUUAGCACCUUGCCAGGGGCAGGGAAACAGGGCGUGACUUUUUUGUUUGUUUUCAUUUUAUGAACCAAAGCACUAAAAGGUUGGCCUCCUAAGGGCUUCUUGCCUCUCCCUAGUUUCUUUUUCUGCACCGACUUUGCUGUUCCGCCUUCUCGAUUUAUGUAUUUUAUUCCUACUGAUAUUCUGGGAAAGGAAGGCCUGUCCUGUUUCUCAAACCCCACAGAGAUGUGGGUGUUUGGUACGGGAGUUGGGUUGCUGCUUGGGACACUUGCAUCCCGUGUUGGAGUUCCCGGUUCGAUUCCCAGCUCCUCCACUACCAAUCUAGCUUGUUGCUGCUAUGCAUUCUGGGAGGCAGGCUGGAGCCCCUGCCACCCACAUGGGAGACCCAAUGGAGUCUUCUUGGAUUCUGGCUUCGGCCUGACCCAGCCCUGGCUGUUGCAGGCAUUUGGGGAGCAAACCAGAGGAUGGAAGUUUCUCUCUUUCUCUGCCUCUUGCUUCCUCUCUCUGUCACUGUGCCUUUCACAAAUAAAAAAAAGAAAAAGAGGGCCGGCGCCGUGGCUCAAUAGGCUAAUCCUCCGCCUUGCGGCGCCGGCACACCGGGUUCUAGUCUUGGUCGGGGCGCCGGAUUCUGUCCCGGUUGCCCCUCUUCCAGUCCAGCUCUCUGCUUUGGCCCGGGAGUGCAGUGGACGAUGGCCCAAGUCCUUGGGCCCUGCACCCACUGGGAGACCAGGAGAAGCACCUGGCUCCUGCCUUCGGAUCAGUGUGGUGCGCCGGCCGUGGCGGCCAUUGGGGGGUGAACCAACGGUAAAGGAAGACCUUUCUCUCUGUCUCUCUCUCUCACUGUCCACUCUGCCUGUCAAAAAAAAAAAAAAUUGAAAAUUAAGAAGAAAGGUGUUGUCUACAGAUGCCGACCUCAGGAGGCUGUGGUCCGGACCCCACGGGACUGUCUGCAGCGAACGCACCACUUCCUCAAUGCAGGGCGUUCGUCUUUAGCAACAAAUUCUCCUUCGCUCAUCAAAGCAGCACUGGGAAACUAAGCCAAGAGAGGGAGACUGGCCGAUGAGUCCCUGAGAUCAGCUACACGAGAGGCGCCACUCAGUGGCCCAGGUUCGACAGAGGGGAAUUUCCAUCCACUGCUACGGUUUUCAGGCUGGCUCCUGUGCCCAGGACAGACACAUCGCGGCAGCGCCUCUGGACAGUGGGAACUGAGCCGUAGGCACGUCACGAGCCUACAGUAGCCAGCGCAAGCCUACAGUGGAGGAGCCCACAGCGCUGGUCUGCGCAGCAGGGGGGAUGUGGUUACACACCUCCGGGGCCUGCGGAGACUCUAACGAGAUAAGGACAAGGCUCAGCGCAGAGGCCAGCACUCAUGGAGUGGCCAGGGCUCUCACGCCUAUUAGUUUAUGCUCCCCAGGGGCUGUUUCAGUCAGUGUCUAUGGUCUGUGGUUUCAACAACCGUGUUAUAGAAGACACUGGAAACCGGAUGCGGGGGAAACAAAGCCAGACCGAGUGGGAGAAUCCUGGAACGCUGGCUGCUUCCCUGCUCUGUUCGGCUCGGGGUUAUUUUGCCGCAGCUCUUACUGGGAAAGUACUUCCAAUGAGAAGAUGAUGCAUGCUUGUUUGCAAAGAGAACAAAGAAGGUAGGAAUGGGAAAGGUCCCGCCUUGCUCCACGGCCAGGUUUUGUGAGAGGAGCCCUUAGCCGAGUGUGGCUCGUCCCUCUUCCCUUUUUAUGUAUUAGGGUUAUAUAUAUAUUUUUAAAGAUUUAGUUGAAAGUCAGAGUUACACAGAGAGAGGAGAGGCAGAGAGAGAGAGAGGUCUUCCAUCCGCUGGUUCACCCCCAAUUGGCCACAGUGGCCGGAGGGAGCUGUGCCGAUCCAAAGCCAGGAGCCAGGAGCCAAGAGCCUCUUCCAGGUCUCCCACGUGGGUGCAGAGGCCCAAGGACUUGGGCCAUCUUCUACUACUUUCCGAGACCACAGCAGAGAGCUGGAUUGGAAGUGGAGCAGCUGGGUCUCAAACCGGCGCCCAUAUGGGAUGCCAGUGCUUCAGGCCAGGGCGUUAACCUGCUGCGCCACAGCACCGGCCCCUAGGGUUAUACUUUUUAAGACAAGUUUUAAAAGUCAAAUGGAGGGCCGGCGCCGCGGCUCACUAGGCUAAUCCUCCGCCUAGCAGCGCCGGCACACCGGGUUCUAGUCCCGGUUGGGGCGCCGGAUUCUGUCCCGGUUGCCCCUCUUCCAGGCCAGCUCUCUGCUGUGGCCCGGGAGUGCAGUGGAGGAUGGCCCAGGUGCUUGGGCCCUGCACCCCAUGGGAGACCAGGAAAAGCACCUGGCUCCUGGCUCCUGCCAUCGGAUCAGCGCGGUGCGCCGGCCGCGGCGGCCAUUGGAGGGUGAACCAACGGCAAAGGAAGACCUUUCUCUCUCUCUCUCUCUCUCACUGUCCACUCUGCCUGUCAAAAAAAAAAAAAAAAGUCAAAUGGAGCCUGUCUUAGCAGGAAGCAGCCGCUCACAUCCCUUGCAGGCCUGCAGACAGGGCGGGAGGAGGGCGACAGGUGUCUAGGUACACCUGUGACCCUCAGAGGGCCCCCCCCCAGGGGACCAACAUAGUUCACAGACGCACGUGGACCAGCCCCGCGUGGCCGAGAACUUCAAGAUGGGGGUCCUUCAAGAGACAGGUGGAUUGAUGCCAGCAUCAUGGGAGGGGGUUAGUUCUCUCUGGAGUGGGACCCUGAGGGAAGGAUGGGCUGGGCCCCCUUCUCUCUCUCUCUCUCUCUCUCUCUCUCCCUGGGCAGAGACACUGCCUGUCCCAGAAGUGCAGCCACAAUUUAGGUCUCGCCGUGUGCUCUCCUCCCGUAUUUCUAAUGAACAAGAUCUUGCUACUGACUCUGUGAUGAACUGGACCAGACAGAAGCCGGGAGCCACACUUUCUGGGUGUCCUAUGUGGGUGGCAGAGGCCCAAAGACCUGGUCUAUCAUGCACUGCCUUCCCAGACACAUUAGAAGGGAGCUGGAUCAGAAGCAGAGCAGCUAGGACUCGAACCAGAACUCUGAUAUGAGAUGCUGGCAUUAUAAACAGCAGUUUAACCCGGUGAGCCCCAACACUGGCCCCAGCAUUCUAUAUUUUAAUCUGUGCACUUAAGAUUCACACACUUUUCUGUAUGUAUGCUGUUAUAUCAAUAAAUAAAGGUAAAUAUAAAUUCAGUGACAAGUUGCAACGGAUCAUUAUCAGCGGGGAGCUGUGUGGAAGUGGGGCAGCCAGGACUCCUAUGGGAUGCGGCAUCGCACAUGGUGGCUUAACCUGCUGCACAUGGUGUCCGCCCAGACGUUCAAGUUUUACGUCGCAUGUUUUUAUCACUGAAAUAAUUGCUGCACAUUUUUUUUAACUUUUUUUUUUUUUUGACAGGCAGAGUGGACAGUGAGAGAGAGAGACAGAGAGAAAGGUCUUCCUUUUGCCGUUGCUUCACCCUCCAAUGGCCGGCGCGCUGCGGCCGGUGCACCGCGCUGAUCCGAUGGCAGGAGCCAGGUGCUUCUCCUGGUCUCCCAUGGGGUGCAGGGCCCAGGGACUUGGGCCAUCCUCCACUGCACUCCCUGGCCACAGCAGAGAGCUGGCCUGGAAGAGGGGCAACUGGGACAGAAUCCGGCGCCCCGACCGGGACUAGAACCUGGUGUGCUGGUGCCGCAGGCGGAGGACUAGCCUAGUGAGCCACAGCGCCAGCCACAUUUUGUUUUAGGAGCAGCGUCAGAAGAGCAUGGUCCAGUUCUGGCGUGUUUGGGGCUCUCUGAGAGACCAAAUGCAAGCAGGAAGGGGGGCUACCAGCACACAGCGGAAGUCCAAGGAGACCAAGAAAAGCCGAGAGCUUACCUGUGCUGAUCUGAAGCAAAGCCAUGGCCGACAUGCCAGAAGCCGCACUCCGGGACCAGAGGAUGGACAUGUGCAGCCCGGCGGCUGGACCCUUCCCGGAACCAGCUGGGAGGAUGCCAGGCUGAGCCGGCACAGGGACAGCGGGGUCCCUGCUGCACUCCCGGCCCGCGGGGGCAAAGCGCGCGCUUGCUCUCUCUGGCCCAAGCCAGGAACCCGGACUCAACCCCGUGUCCCACAGGAGUGGAAGGGGCCCAAGCACUUCUGCCUCCCAGGGUGGACGUUAGCAGGAAACUGGAUCAGAAGCUGAACCAUGGAAUACUGAAGACAAUGAAGCGAUCUCUCUCUCUCUCUUUUUUUUUUUUAAUUUUAAAGAUUUAUUUUUUAUUUAUUUGAAAGACAGAGUUACAGAGAAAGGUAGAGAGAGGGAGAGAGAAGUCUUCCUUCCGCUGGUUCACUCCCCAAAUGACUGCAAUGGCUGGAGCUGAGCCGACCUGAAGCCAGGAGCCAGGAGCUUCUUCUGGGUCUCCCAUGUGGGUGCACGGACCCAAGGACUUGGAUUGUUCUCUGCUGCUUACCCAGGUGCAUCAGCAGGGAGCUGGAUCAGAAGUGGAGCAGCCAGGACUCAAGCCAGCGACCUUAUGGGAUGCCGGCACUGCAGUCCGGGGCUUUAACCCACUGCGCCACAGCGCCGGCCCCGACAGUGAGAUAAGCUUAACAAAACGGCUGGGGCGAGUGCUUUGCUCCUGCAUCCCACAUCAGAACAUCUGGCCUGAGUUCCCACUCCAGUUCCCAUCCAGUUUCCUGCUCACGCGCACCCUGGGAGGCAGUGGUGAUGGUGCAAGUGUUUGGGUCCCUGCCCGCCUUGUGGGAGACAGGUGGAGUUCUGGGCUCCUGGUUUAGACCUGGUCCAGCGCUGGAUGUUGUGGGCAUUUGGGGAGUGACCCAGCCGAUGGACCUCUCUCAGAUUCUCUCUCUCUCAAAAAAAAAAAAAAAAAAAAAAAAAAAAAAAAGCCUCCCAAGCGCUGCCUCUCAGGAAGCCCCUGGAAGAUAGUUCUUCGCCCACAGGGGUAAAAGGGGAGGGAGGGAGUGGACCCCACACGCAGGCUGCUGAAGGAGCUCCUGCAUUAGGAGCUGCCCUGCUGGCUUCAGAGAGCCAGCCCGACGGGAGCAGCCGGGCAGGGGUCUGGAGACGGAAUCCUUCCACAUGACUCGCUGGAGAUGGCAUCGUCCCACAUGACUCACAGGCGGGGCGGGGGAGGGUGCAGACAAACAGAAACGGUGCUUGAGAAACCAGUAUUAAGAUUUAUUUGUUUGUUUGAAAGACAGAGUUACAGAGAGGCAGAGGCAGAGAGAGAGAGAGAGAGAGAGGGAGGGAGAGAGAGAGAGAGAGAAAGUCUUCCAUCCGCUGGUUCACUCCCCAGAUGGCUGCAAUGGCCGGAGCUGUGCUGAUCCGAAGCCAGGAGCCAGGAGCUUCUUCCGGGUCUCCCACGUGGGUGCAGGGGCCCAAGCACUUGGGCCAUCUUCCAGUGCCUUCUCAGGCCACAGCAGAGAGCUGGAUUAGAAGUGGAGCAGCUGGGACGCGAACCGGCACCCAUAUGGGACGCCGGCACUGCAGGCGGCAGCUUUAACCCGCCACACCACAGCACCGGCCCUAAGCUGCUUUACAUAUAAUAUCCUAUUUGGAACUGGCGCCCAUCUGGGAUGCUGGCACUGCAGGCGUCGGCUUUACCCGCUACACCACAGUGCCGGCCCCCUUCCUGCGUAUUUUAAAUCGUCUCUAGAUCACUUUCAGUUAAUGUCAAUGGGGUCUAAACGGUUGUCACACUGGAUUGUUUAGGGAAUGAUGACAAGGAACAAAGUCUGCACAUGUUCAGUACUCACACAAUUGUUUCCUUUUUUUGCAAAUAUUUUCCAUCUUCAGUUUGUUGAAUCUGCUUGGGAGCAACCCGAGGAGGGUUGUACCCUAGAGAGGAGCAGGAAGGGGGCUGGGGUGCAGGCAGGCUGGCCGUUGUUUGACAGGACCACAGCAGCUCUCUCCCGGUGCUCACGGUGCCUCUUUCUGUGCAGCUCUCGGGUCAGAAGAGGGAGCCACGGCCCAUCACAGCACCCGCAUGCCCGCCUGUUCUUCCGCUCUCAGAUCUAACUUUGCAAACCCCUUUUCUUCACGUGUCAUCCUUCCAUUCACUCCGCAGAUGUUUGCGUGAAGUGCCAGAGCUGCCGCGCCUUCCAGCAACUCACGAGGCCCGAGAUGGGCACUGCUGCUGCUGGCCCGGGCGGAGCGCUUACUUCUAGCGAAUCUGCUUUCACAAAUGAGAAAUCAAGUAAGGCAACCGACCUCUGCUGGGAAGGCACCGGGCUCCCAGACCUGCAAUGCAAAACCUCAGCGUGGGUUGGAGACCACAGCCGGCGGCAGACAGACGAGACCGCAGAAACAGACCCCAACCCAGGGGAAGAGCUGUCCCCGCUGCCUAUUGCCACCGUGCAGGGAAGUGGCUUCUUGUUCCGACGCUGCAAGUCCCCCCGACAUCUCAGCCCCUCUGCUUUCCAUCCAAUUUCUUUAUUGGUUUUCAAAUGUUUAUAUUUUAUUUAUUCGAAAGGCAGAGGGUCAGCGAGGAAAAGAGAAAGGGGAUCUUCCCUCCUCUGGUUCACUCCCCCAAACGGCCACAACGGUUGGGUCAGGCAGAAGCCGGGAGCCAGGAACUCCAUCUGGGUCUCCCACGUGGGUGGCAGGGGCCAAGCACUUGGGCCAUCUUCCGUCGCCUUCCCCGGUGGGUGCGCUGGGAGCUGGUCAGAGGCAGAGCUGCUGGGGCUUGAACUGGAGCUCCAGUAUGGGAUGACGGCUUAACUGCUGCCCUGCCUCCACCAAAGCCUGGAGUCCCCAGAGCUCUCCUGCGUUCCAGCAGGUCUGCCUCUCCUUUGUCUACGUUUUACAAGCCCAGCGCCGAAGGCCGACUCUCCGUCGAUGGCGGCGGCGAGGGAGCUGCUCUGCGGCCGGCGCCCAGCGGUGCUGGGGCACGGAAGGCUGGACACGGCCUUGGCCGCUCUGCGCCCGGACUGUGGCCCUUGCGCCCUCUGCUGGUCGGAACCCUCCUAGCAGUGCGUAGCGGAGCACAAGAGCUGACCUCAGAAGCCCUCUCUACCAAGACCCCGAGGACUUCAAAAAGUUCGAGGAAAACACGGCAUUAAGAAAUGAGUUUUUGUAGCGGCAAAAAAAAAAAAAAAAAAAAAAAAAAAAAAAAAAAAAAAAUUGAAAUCCAGGCCUGGUUUUUUCAUGACAUGCAUUUCACAUGAACUUUUGUCAUGGAUGUCUUUGGAUUCCAUUUGCCAUGAGCUUCCCAAAGUACCCUGGGGUGAUAUCCAGAGGUUUGCAGUCUUCUCCCUGGAGCCCAGCUGGUGGGCACCUUGUACAGACCUGAGCAGAGCCCAGGCCCGCCUGCCUGGCCCCUCACCCGCAGCCUGAGCUCACAAGGGACCGGUGUUUAAAGCUACUCCUACGGAGGGCACCUGCUAUGCCACGAUUCCUGGUAGGGAGCUGGAUGGGACGCGGAUCAGCUGGGGCUUGAACCAGCACCCAUAGAGGAUGCCCGGCGUCACGGGUGGCGGCUUAAUCCGCUGCACCACAACGCAGGCCCCAAAAGGAGGACAUUCAUUCUCUCUCUCUCUCUCUCUCCCCCUCUCCCUCUCCCUCUCCCUCUCUCUCUCUCCCUCUCUCUCUCUCCAGGCUCAUCCCGGAACUCAGGCCACACACUGUGAGCAAACACAAGCAGCCACACAGAAGGGCUCCCCGCGGCUUUUCCAGAUUCAGACAGGACCCGGCUGGGCACCCACCUGUCACCUCCCGAGUCAGGUCCCAGCGGGAUCCGGAAAAGCUGCACCGCGCUCUCCACCCCCCAGUGUCACAGAUCCCUGCCACACACACCCCCACCCCCACCCCCACCCGCCAGGCUGAGCCCCGGUUUUGUAAAAACCUGUGACUUCCUCAGGAUGCACCUGCUUUUCCCGGGGCAGGAAGAGCCGUUUCCCUCCAGGCCGGGAACUUUCUCUCGUUUGCGCUGCUUCUGCCAGCUCCGGCCCCAUCCCCUGUCGGGGGGCCAGUCACGCUCCUUGACUUUGGAAAUCUGCAGAGGUCUGGCCCAGCUUUGCCGGGAGGAGCCCAGGUGUCUCGCCCUGCCUGGUUUCCCUGCCCCCACUCCCGCUGCUUCCACAUUUUGUGACAAUCCAGGUCUCCCCCACAACGGCUGUCUUCAAUUCGCCUCUGUUCUUUUUGUCUCCACCCAGGACAUUUUCACUGCAAACCGUGUCAACUUAAUCCAAACAUCGCGCAAGGAAGACUGGGCUGCUGAGUCCCAGACAGAGGAAACUUCCAGAACAUUGGCUCGAUACAUUUGUGUGCAGCGGAAGUUGGCCCACGUGCUUGGGCCCCUGCACCCGUGUGGGAGAUCUGGACGAAGUCCCAGGCUCCUGGCUCCAGCCUGGCUCAGCCUCAGCUUCUGUGGCCAUUUGAGGAGUGAACCAGGGGAUGGAAGACCUCUCUCUCUCCCUCUGUUUGUGUAACUUUUCCUUUCAAAUGAAGACAUAAAUCUUUAAAAAUAAAUCUACCUCUGCCUUCAA